rnacentral:rRNA from 1 species
GAUGAACGCUAGCGACAGGCUUAACACAUGCAAGUCGAGGGGCAGCGGGGAGAGUAGCAAUACAAUCUGCCGGCGACCGGCGCACGGGUGAGUAACGCGUAUGCAACCUACCUAUCAGAGGGGGAUAGCCCAUCGAAAGAUGGAUUAAUACCGCAUAAAACAGGGGCUCCGCAUGGAGAUAUUUGUUAAAGAAAUUCGCUGAUAGAUGGGCACGCGUUCCAUUAGUUAGUUGGUAGGGUAACGGCCUACCAAGACAUCGAUGGAUAGGGGUUCUUAGAGGAAGGUCCGCCACACGGGUACUGAGACACGAACCAGACUCCUACGGGAGGCAGCAGUGAGGAAUAUUGGUCAAUGGGCGAGAGCCUGAACCAGCCAAGUCGCGUGAAGGAUGACUGCCCUAUGGGUUGUAAACUUCUUUUAUAUGGGAAUAAAAAGCACUACGUGUAGUGUAUUGCAUGUACCAUUAUGAAUAAGCAUCGGCUAACUCCGUGCCAGCCGCCGCGGUAA